rnacentral:rRNA from 1 species
CUUGAUACUUUUUCCAAAAUAUCAACUGUGUUACGACUUACCUUAUUUUGUAAUAAGGGUGACGGGCGAUAUGUGCACAUUUAUUAUUUUAUUCAAGGAUAAAUAUUAUUUAAUAAUUACUUUUAAAUCCUAUUUUAUAAUUGGUUGAGGUUAAUUAAUCUUAAAUUAGAUUUUAAUGUAACUCAUUUAUUCUUUAAUGUGAAUUACACCUUGACCUAACAUUUUAUUAUUUAUUUAGAAUAAUAUUUUUAAAUUAGUUCUUAAUGAUGGCGAUAUAUAAAUUUUUAUAUAAAGUAAAAUUGAUCGGGGUUUAUCGAUUAUGAAACAAGUUCCUCUAAUAAAAUAAAAUGCCGCCGUUAUAAAUAAGUUUUAUAAAAUUUUAGUAUUACUUAAAUUUGUUUUAAUAUACUAGGGUUUCUAAUCCUAUUUUAAAUUUAAAGUUUUAAUUUUUAAUUAAAUUAUUUUUAUAAAAUAAGAAUUUUACUUUUUAUUAAUUAAUUUUUAAUAAGAAAGGAAAAUAAAAUAUAGUAUAAUUAAACUAAAAGGAUAACCGCAACUGCUGGCACUUUUAUUAGUUAGUCAUUUUAUUAAUAGUUCUAUAUAUGUAAAAUAAAUAAAGAUUUUUUAUAAGUAAUUUUAUUUUUAUAUUUAUAUUUUAAAAAUAAUAUACUAAGAGUUUUUAUAGAAAUUUAAUUAU